UGUGUGUGUGUUGAACCAAAUGUGGGUGAAAGAACGCCUGAAAUCGGCCAACUGGAGUAUGGACACUAUGAACACAUUUCUAGAAUAAACAAUAAGGUCUCCCAGCGCUGGGAUCGAGGAGUUGCAGUCCAAAAGAUCAAGCUUAAUUGUUGACCCACUGCUGCCCAUAAUAACUGCUGCUCCUUAGACCUUGAAGCUCUUGCCUGGACAACACAGCAGGAACACUCGUUCCUGUCAGACAAGAAGCACUAGAGAUGUGAUUGCUAAGGAAGAAGUUGUCUGAACAUGUUGAUAAGGAAAGUUAUGGUUUAGCUGAUUAUCGUACUACAACAAUGUAUGACUAUCGACCUCACCAGCAGACAUGGACAAAGCCUGUCACUCCCAUUCCAGAACAACCUCAUAAGAAUCGCAUUUACUUGUCAGAGCUGACAGAUGGAAAUUCACCUAAACGGAGGGGUAUCAACAAGUUUUUUGAUGAUAAUCUGGGAGAUUUUUAUAGGAAUCGCACAGAAAAAUAUGAUCUGUAUGCUUCCUACAAUCCAGGGACUGGAGAGUACAGAAAUAUUAAAGAGACAAUAAACAAAUAAUAUCUUGAGGAUAUAUUUAUAUGACAGCAUUUACAUGUGUUGUUUCACCAUAAUUUAUUUGACAUGAAAAAGUAAACUUAGUUUUUCAACUAACAAUUUAUUGUUUUUCUUACAGUGUAUAUUGCAUGUAGAUGUAUUGUGAUUAAGGGUUUCUUUUGAGUUACACUGAAUGCAAGUCAGAGAGUUCAUUACUGCUUAUAAGGUUGACCAAUUAUGCAAAGCGCAGCCAAUGCAAGAGUGGCAAAACUAAAUGAUGAGAGAAUUUGUUUUCGUUUCUAUUCCGUACUAUUUAUCUUCAUUGUCUCUAUAAAAAUGUUAUCAGCCUAUCAUUUUUGUGUUCAAGUGACCAAGAGUACUUAUGAUGGUUAAUAUCCAGCAAAUAAAGUUUCUUCAUUUGAAAGUUUGAUUAGACAGCACAGUCUUACAUCCACUACAGUUUUCAUUUUACAUUUAAACUUUAAACAAUAAGGUUAAAGGUCUUUUUUCGUAAAUUUUAAUGUUCUGAAAACUUCAAAUUUUGCCUUUGAAAAUGCUUUUUUAUAUUUAUUUACUACACAUUUUUUUUCAGAAAUCUUAUUACAUAUCAACUGUUAUUCUGUUAUCUUUAAAGAUACUGUAUAAUCUCCAUUUAAUUUACCUGCAGUGAUAUAUAAUAUAGUCAUGUAAGAACACUAAUAGCUGCACUGUCAUUCACCCCACCAACAAAAAAUUUAUGCUCAGAAAUUACAGUGCCUGUAAAGUGGAUGUAGCAAAGACUUGAAGUAAAAGUUAGUCAAUUGUUAA
rnacentral:misc_RNA from 1 species